UCAACCUGAGAGUUUGAUCCUGGCUCAGAGCGAACGCUGGCGGCAGGCCUAACACAUGCAAGUCGAACGGACCCUUCGGGGUUAGUGGCGGACGGGUGAGUAACACGUGGGAACGUGCCUUUAGGUUCGGAAUAGCUCCUGGAAACGGGUGGUAAUGCCGAAUGUGCCCUUCGGGGGAAAGAUUUAUCGCCUUUAGAGCGGCCCGCGUCUGAUUAGCUAGUUGGUGAGGUAACGGCUCACCAAGGCGACGAUCAGUAGCUGGUCUGAGAGGAUGACCAGCCACACUGGGACUGAGACACGGCCCAGACUCCUACGGGAGGCAGCAGUGGGGAAUCUUGCGCAAUGGGCGAAAGCCUGACGCAGCCAUGCCGCG
rnacentral:rRNA from 1 species